GACGCCAGUCUGCAUGGAGCCGACCUUGAAAUACCACCCUUUAAUGUUUGAUGUUCUAACGUUGACCCGUAAUCCGGGUUGCGGACAGUGUCUGGUGGGUAGUUUGACUGGGGCGGUCUCCUCCUAAAGAGUAACGGAGGAGCACGAAGGUUGGCUAAUCCUGGUCGGACAUCAGGAGGUUAGUGCAAUGGCAUAAGCCAGCUUGACUGCGAGCGUGACGGCGCGAGCAGGUGCGAAAGCAGGUCAUAGUGAUCCGGUGGUUCUGAAUGGAAGGGCCAUCGCUCAACGGAUAAAAGGUACUCCGGGGAUAACAGGCUGAUACCGCCCAAGAGUUCAUAUCGACGGCGGUGUUUGGCACCUCGAUGUCGGCUCAUCACAUCCUGGGGCUGAAGUAGGUCCCAAGGGUAUGGCUGUUCGCCAUUUAAAGUGGUACGCGAGCUGGGUUUAGAACGUCGUGAGACAGUUCGGUCCCUAUCUGCCGUGGGCGCUGGAGAACUGAGGGGGGCUGCUCCUAGUACGAGAGGACCGGAGUGGACGCAUCACUGGUGUUCGGGUUGUCAUGCCAAUGGCACUGCCCGGUAGCUAAAUGCGGAAGAGAUAAGUGCUGAAAGCAUCUAAGCACGAAACUUGCCCCGAGAUGAGUUCUCCCUGAC
rnacentral:rRNA from 1 species